AAGAUCAUACUUUUAGGGAUCAUUUCUAUAGUGUGCAUCUUGAAAACGUCAUCAAAAUAUGACGAAUCCUCAACUACGAUGAUGCGAUGAAGGGAUUCCUUCUGAGCAUGAAGCUUGGUUCGUUGUAUCUUCGGAUGUUGCGAACUAUUGAGGAUUGUUCUUUGAUUUCCAUUUGGAGAUCUAGGAGGAAGGAAUCUCCGGCUGAGUAGU
rfam:Ciona savignyi cont_58586, whole genome shotgun sequence.